GGCGGACUCAGCUACCACAGAGUUACCUGCAAGAGAGCAGGAGGAAAUAGGCAGGAGACUAGGGGGGCAGUUCCAAACCAUAGAGAUGAGCCGGGACUGGAGCUAGAGCGGAGAGGCGCUGACUCCAGAGGAAGGCGGGGAACCCAAUUAGAGCAUAGAGCUGGGGAAGGACCUAGGCUAGAACAUACCGGAUGGGAAACGGGAUGAUGGACGCAGCCAUGUUACUAUAGAGAUCUAGCUGUUGCUAGACAAGCUAGGAGGUCUAAUGACCCUAGACUAGUCGGAGGAAGGGAGGCAGCAGCACAGCUGAGCCUGAGAUGCCAGGGGAGGCAAGGAACGGCUGCAGGGGAGCCACCCAGGGCUUGGAUUAGGCUGUGCUGCCCAGGGAGAGGGGCUGUGCCAAGGGCGGUGACACAAAGAGCGGGACAGACGGGGACCGAGCCCAGAACCAGCCCAUCCCAAGGAGCAGCCAGCAGAGAUGGAGGCACAGGAAGGCACCCCUCGUCCCAGGCCGACAGCAGAGGACCCCAGGGCCACAGCUAAGGAGACUGAAGGGGUGGCUGGGACUGGAGCCAAGGAGGUGGCUCGGGGUGGGGAUGGGCUGGGGGAGAAGGGGAGAG